UACGUAGGGUGCAAGCGUUAAUCGGAAUUACUGGGCGUAAAGCGUGCGCAGGCGGUGAUGUAAGACAGAUGUGAAAUCCCCGGGCUCAACCUGGGAACUGCAUUUGUGACUGCAUCGCUUGAGUGUGGCAGAGGGGGGUGGAAUUCCACGUGUAGCAGUGAAAUGCGUAGAUAUGUGGAGGAACACCGAUGGCGAAGGCAGCCCCCUGGGUUAACACUGACGCUCAUGCACGAAAGCGUGGGGAGCAAACAGG
rnacentral:rRNA from 1 species